rnacentral:rRNA from 1 species
AUUGAACGCUGGCGGCAUGCCUUACACAUGCAAGUCGAACGGUAACAGGUUAAGCUGACGAGUGGCGAACGGGUGAGUAAUAUAUCGGAACGUGCCCAGUAGUGGGGGAUAGCCCGGCGAAAGCCGGAUUAAUACCGCAUACGACCUACGGGUGAAAGGGGGGGAUCGCAAGACCUCUCGCUAUUGGAGCGGCCGAUAUCAGAUUAGGUAGUUGGUGGGGUAAAGGCCUACCAAGCCUGCGAUCUGUAGUUGGUCUGAGAGGACGACCAGCCACACUGGGACUGAGACACGGCCCAGGCUCCUACGGGAGGCAGCAGUGGGGAAUUUUGGACAAUGGGCGCAAGCCUGAUCCAGCAAUGCCGCGUGCAGGAAGAAGGCCUUCGGGUUGUAAACUGCUUUUGUCAGGGAAGAAAUCCUCUGGGUUAAUACCUCGGGGGGAUGACGGUACCUGAAGAAUAAGCACCGGCUAACUACGUGCCAGCAGCCGCCGUAAAAC